UUAGAUUAAUGCUUCUGUGGACCUAGAUU
rnacentral:piRNA from 1 species